GACCUGGUGGUGUACGGCAACACACCUGCUUUACUUCCACGCGAUCUCAAGCAACAUUGUGCAGGAGACCCCCGUUCGAACCGGGGCCAGGUCG